rnacentral:snRNA from 1 species
GUGCUCCCUUGGACAGCACAUAUGCUAAAAUUGGAAUGAUUAGAGAAGAUUAGCAUGACCUCUGCAUGAGGAUGACAUGCAAAUUUGUGAAGCAUUCCAUAUUAAA